GACGUAGGAUGCGAGCGUUGUCCGGAUUUAUUGGGCGUAAAGAGUUCGUAGGCGGUUCGUUAAGUUUGAUGUUAAAGAUCAAGGCUCAACCUUGGGAUUGCAUUGAAUACUGGCGGACUUGAGUGCAGUAGAGGCGAGUGGAAUUCUCAGUGUAGCGGUGAAAUGCGUAGAUAUUGGGAGGAACACCGGUGGCGAAGGCGGCUACCUGGACCGGUUCUGACGCUGAUGCGCGAAAGCGUGGGGAGCAAACAGG
rnacentral:rRNA from 1 species